GGGGAAUAUUGGACAAUGGGCGCAAGCCUGAUCCAGCCAUACCGCGUGGGUGAAGAAGGCCUUCGGGUUGUAAAGCCCUUUUGUUGGGAAAGAAAUCCAGCCGGCUAAUACCUGGUUGGGAUGACGGUACCCAAAGAAUAAGCACCGGCUAACUUCGUGCCAGCAGCCGCGGUAAUACGAAGGGUGCAAGCGUUACUCGGAAUUACUGGGCGUAAAGCGUGCGUAGGUGGUCGUUUAAGUCCGUUGUGAAAGCCCUGGGCUCAACCUGGGAACUGCAGUGGAUACUGGGCGACUAGAGUGUGGUAGAGGGUAGCGGAAUUCCUGGUGUAGCAGUGAAAUGCGUAGAGAUCAGGAGGAACAUCCAUGGCGAAGGCAGCUACCUGGACCAACACUGACACUGAGGCACGAAAGCGUGGGGAGCAAACAGGAUUAGAUACCCUGGUAGUCCACGCCCUAAACGAUGCGAACUGGAUGUUGGGUGCAAUUUGGCACGCAGUAUCGAAGCUAACGCGUUAAGUUCGCCGCCUGGGGAGUACGGUCGCAAGACUG
rnacentral:rRNA from 1 species